rnacentral:rRNA from 1 species
GUGGGGAAUCUUCCGCAAUGGACGAAAGUCUGACGGAGCAACGCCGCGUGAGUGAAGAAGGUUUUCGGAUCGUAAAGCUCUUUCGUCAGGGACGAACGUAUUUCUUGUAAAUAAUGAGAGAUAGUGACGGUACCUGAAUAAGAAGCCACGGCUAACUACGUGCCAGCAGCCGCGGUAAUACGUAGGUGGCAAGCGUUGUCCGGAAUUAUUGGGCGUAAAGCGCGCGCAGGCGGGAUAUCAAGUCUGUCUUAAAAGUGCGAGGCUCAACCUCGUGAGGGGACAGAAACUGGUAUUCUUGAGUGUCGGAGAGGAAAGUGGAAUUCCAAGUGUAGCGGUGAAAUGCGUAGAGAUUUGGAAGAACACCAGUGGCAAAGGCGACUUUCUGGACGAUGUCUGACGCUGAGGCGCGAAAGCUAGGGGAGCGAACGGGAUUAGAAACCCCAGUAGUCC